UGGCAAAGCAUUCAUGCUCCGUGUUCUACUAUAUCACAAGAACACAAUUCAGUACAAUUAGUGCAGAGAAGCAUAGUUCCCCAAAGGGGAAAGUUGUAUACAUCCUAAACAAAUAGACACAAAACAUAUCUCUAAACAAGUAUAAACCAAAAGAAAUAACUAUAAAAGCAGUUAAAAGUCCAGAGAGAUAAAGCAACGCAUACAUUUUAACUUAGUAUGCUAAUCACAAUUUUUACCAACCCUACCACAUUUCUUGAAAAGCAACUAACAAAAAAUUUCCUCCUCCAUAUUCCAAUAGUUUCUGAAACCAAUAAAGAUAUUAGACUGAAUGUCGCAAGGUGGAAAAUUAAAAUGAGUAAUUAAGAAGAACUAGCUCAAAGGAAGCCAUCACUACAUACAAUAGAAUGAAACUCCAAAAACCAGUAUCUACCUGUAAUUACUGUUUUAAGAAUAAUUUAUUCAGCUAAGAAAUGUGAUUGAAUACGUGUUAGCAAAAUAUGGAAUAAAACACUUCAUUAGACAUUCUGGGUCCAGAUUCUUGCAAAAAUGUUGAGAAUAUAUUAAAAAUU